rnacentral:misc_RNA from 1 species
AAUGUCGUAACAAGGUUUCCGUAGGUGAACCUGCGGAAGGAUCAUUACGUAUGGUAGGCCGGUCUGACCGGUUCUAUUCAACCCUGUUUUUCGCGCACCCUUUGUUUCCUCGGCAGGCUUGCCUGCCAGUAGGACCUUUCAACCCUUCGUGUCAAAGCAAUCAGCGUCAAACAAACAAACAAUGGUAACAA